UGCCCCAUGGCUAAGUUGGUUAAAGCGUCCGACUGUUAUCACGUGAUUAAUCGGAAGGUCGUGAGUUCGAGCCUCACUGGGGCAG